CUUGAGAGCCACCGGACAAGCCAAAGGGUCCACAGCUGCGGGGAGAGAGACAACUCUUCAACUCCAAACCUUGAGGUUGGACAAUAACCAUGGGAGGUAGGCGGGGAAGGUCUGAUUACUACCGGAUCGCUGCUGGAAACACUGUUCAUCAGGAAGACUAAGGAAGAUAAUGGUGGCCCUUUCUUCCCAGACGGGGAGGGCAUCUCUCUCAGGAGCGUUUCUGACUUGUUUCAGGGGAGAGGGGCAGAGGGAAGGUCAGAGUGAUCUUCCUGCUCCUGCUGUCUUCUCAGACUCAGCUUAAACUCUUCAAUAUGGCAAGGUGCCUCGUUUUGGGGUAGCGUGUCUGGAACCCC